CGCGGCGGGUGCACGACAGACCUUUGCUGGCUAUGUAAACAACCGGGCUGAAAUAUGUUCUAGUCCUAAAUGCCCAGAGUAUUAUUUAUACAAAAACAUUCAUGCAGCGGUGGGACAAAGAGAUCACCCACGGAGCAGAACGAGAGGGGGAGUUGUCCGAGGGUAAUUCUGUCGUCGCCCGCACCCGAGCUAACUGAUAGCAGCGGUCUCAUAGAAGUUUUCUAAAUUAGAUUUUUAGUCAUUGCAGGAGGUAAUAAAGGAAGAUCUCCAUCGAGACAGAGAGACUUUAAAACUGAAGAAAGAUAAGGAAGACUUCUAUAAACAAGUUAUCGAUGCUUUUGAUCAGAAGGAGCUGGCAUGGAUUUCAUUUAUAAGUAAAGUGUUCCAUGCCAUCGUCUGCUGGGGUGGAAAGAUCAUGGCCAGAGACAGGAGCAGACCCAACAAAGCAACCAAGAGAGCAGACUCCACUCUCGGUUGCCAACCAACUCUCGGCCAGUGUCCAGUCCGCAUGGAUGAGCGAGGAUACGUCCAAGGAGACAGAGGUGUCCGAUACCUGCUCAUUCAGCCAAGACACUGUGAAACUUGUCCAUCCCGGCGCUCAGUGCCUCCUCCGCAGCUCUGUCUCUUCUUCUGCAUCUCCAUCCAUGUACAAGGGAUGUGUACUAUGGCUUUGAGUUGUUGUUUUUUCCCUUGGCCUCAGUCUGGACCCCCUCUCCAGUGGCCCAGGCUUAGACCAAUGUUUUUAUUUUAUUUUAUUUUAAUCCUUAAUGUUUUUUCUCCCAUUCCCCCCCACUUGUUUACCUGUAUCUCACCUUUUUUGUAAGGGGCGCCGGAAGUUGGCAGACCCGUCAGCGAUCCUGUUCUGUCUCCCUGUAAUGUUUGUCUCAACUUUAAUGGGAUUGUGCUGAACAUUUUAAUUUCCCCUCGGGGAUUAAUAAAGUAUGUUUGAUUCUGA